CGAAAGAUGGUGAACUAUGCCUGGCCAGGAUGAAGCCAGAGGAAACUCUGGUGGAGGUCCGAAGCAGUUCUGACGUGCAAAUCGAUUGUCAGAGCUGGGUAUAGGGGCGAAAGACCAAUCGAACCAUCUAGUAGCUGGUUCCCUCCGAAGUUUCCCUCAGGAUAGCUGGUGCUCUUCUAAGGAGUUUCAUCCGGUAAAGCGAAUGAUUAGAGGUACUGGGGGCGAAACGCCCUCAACCUAUUCUCAAACUUUAAAUGGGUGAGACACCAAGCUUGCUUGAUGUUGAGGGUGCGUGUGCCGGUUUGCGAAAGGAGAGGGACUCGCUUCCUCCCCGAGUAGCGCCGCCACCACCCUCUUGCUUGAAGCUUUGGCCUUAAAAUCGGAGCACCAAGUGGGCCAUUUUU
rnacentral:rRNA from 1 species